CCUUUGCCUCUGAUGCCGGUAAGUUGCUCGGGUGGCUUUCAGGCAUAGCUGCCAAUUACUUGCCCAUGUGGCUGGUCCUUAUCCUUGGUUCAUCUCUCGGGCUGGUUGGUUAUGGAGUGCAAUAUCUCUUCCUCAUAGGCCGUGUCUCCAACUUGCCAUACGGUGCCGUUUUCUUCCUCGCUAUGCUAGCAGGAAAUAGCAUUUGUUGGAUCAACACCGUUUGCUACCUCGUUGCUAUUAGAAACUUCCCCCUCGACGGCCAACUCGUCAUAGGAUUGACAGGUAGCUACCAGGGACUAAGUGCAAAAAUCUAUACAGAUAUUGUGGAUGUCAUCUACCCUUCUUCAGACGGGAAGAGAGCCAGAGCCUAUCUUUUACUUAGCUCUAUCUUACCCCUCAUAGUUAGUGUCAUAACUGCACCGUUAGUUAGAGUUAUUAAAGUUAUGAAGACAAAGAGGGCCAAAGAUGCAUUUAUAUUCAUUCUUGUCAUAACAAUAGCCACAGGAGCCUUUGCUGUCAUGGGCAGUAUAGGAUCAACAUCAAGCUUGUUAUCACCAUUUGCUAGUGCAGUUGGAAUGCUAACGUUGCUAUUAGCCCCACUUUUAAUCCCCUUAGGUUUGGGACUAAGACAUCAAAUUAAGCAACUUGCAGAGGAAAAAGUUCAUAUAGAGGAGAUUAAUAAUGUUUCUAUGGACAAAAUGGAGAGUGGGGUGAAAUUAGAUAUCAGUGAAAUCGUAAGUGAGAGCCAAAGUGAAAGUUUCGAGUUAAGUUUUAGUUCUACCAGUGAAGAAUUUAAUGGAGAGAUAAGAGAAAGCAAUAAUGGAGAUGAUAGGAUAAGUGACACAAACGAGGUAAUUAGUGUGAUAGAGGAGAUCGGUGUGAAGGUGAUGCUAAGGAGAUUGAACUUUUGGUUAUAUUUCUUUGUUUAUCUUUUCGGUGUUACACUGGCCUUGGUUUUCUUCAACAACUUAGGACAAAUAGCUGAAUCUCGAGGGCGUUCAGCUUCUUCUCUUGUUUCAUUAUCGUCUUCGUUUGGUUUCUUUGGUCGUCUCGUACCAUCAAUCGUGGAAUACUUUGUCUCAAGGUAACGUAAUCCAAGCUCUUAACUCUUUUUAUUUUUGGCAAAGUUAUCUAUCUAAUAUCUUCAGUACAGCAAUAUAAUUUAAACCAAUGAGAAUCAGUUGAAGGUUGAUGAAUGCAUUGAAGUAGCAUAUUUAAUUAUAUUACAAAUGGUGGAAUUUCAGGAGAAAAUACAUGAUAUCGAGACCAGCAUUUGUGGUGGCAUUAAUGGCACCAACAGGAGCAGCCUUCUUCUUAUUACUUGCCAACGACACCAGCGUACUAUGGCUUUAUAUUAGCACCGCCAUUAUAGGAGUGUGUUCGGGGGCAAUUACUACCAUAUCUGUAUCUUUAACGACGGAGCUAUUCGGGACCAAAAAUUUUGGCGUCAACCAUAAUGUUUUGGUGGUCAAUAUUCCCAUCGGAUCCUUACUCUUUGGUUACCUAGCAGCUGUUGUUUAUCACAAAGAAGGAAAUGCAGAGGGGAAAUGCUUUGGCAUGGAAUGCUACAGAAAGACCUUUAGUUUGUGGGGUACGCUUUGUUUUAUUGGAACCUUCCUCGCUUUAAUCCUUUACGCUCGUACCCGAAAGUUUUACAACUCGCAAAGAUCAUAGGGUAAUAGAAACUAAUUAUAUUUUAUUAUUGGGUUAGAUUUAACUUGCUAAUUAUUUUUGUAUUUGGGUUUAACUUUUUAAAAAAAAUUAAAUUAUGAAUUUUAUAUUUGUUCUCGUAUUGGUGUUUAAAUUUUGCAUUAUUUUUAUAUUAAAGUUUAAAUUUUAAAAUUUAAAAAAAAAUAUUGAGAAUUAACUUAAAAUAUAUAUAUAUUUAAGUUUUAAUAUAAUAAUAAUUAAUAAAUUAAUUUAAACUCUAAUACAAAUAUAAUUAUCAAAUUCAAGACUUAAAAAAAUAUUAUUGAAAAUAGUUUAAAAGUUUAAAAAAAAAAAAUUAACCCUUAUUUAUUAUACAUAAAUGAAAAGCGAUGUAGCCUAGUAAAAGUUUUUUAGCGGUAGUAUUGAUUAAACAGCAACAGCAGACUUGAUUGCUUUGAUUGAAAAUAGUUUUGCACGCCACUUGUUCUAUAAUUUAUUUUAGGUUUGCUUCACAUCAAAUACAUUGAAAUGACGUUCUUUCACUCGUUAUAUUCGAUGCUGGUAUCUAUAGUCUGGUUUUCUAAUUUUUACAUUUUAUUUUGAUAUUAUAAAAUACUAACGUCUCCUCUCUUAUUACACUAUAAACCCUUAUAAAUUAAAACAUAAUAUGAAAAUUUAUACUUAAAUUAUUUAAAACGCUCCAUUUCUUCUUUAAUUUCCUAGACUCGUGUUCUUCUUUGAUUGAACAAUUAAUAUUGACAUCUACCAAAUGUUAGGCGCAAAUGCAAAUUAAUUGCCACACAAACAAUUCUAUAUAUGUUAUAUUUUGUAUAUAUCAUUAUAUGAUAUGUAGGUAGUUAUUAUACUCUAUAUAUACAUAUAGUGUUUUAUACUUAAAAGUUUGGUAUAUAUAUAUAUUUUGUUGUUGAGAUUUUUAUCUUCGAGUAUAAAUAUAUAAAUCAAAAUUCUCAAUCUAAGCUCUCAGAGUUUCAACACUAUUUUAAUAAAUUUGAUUCUUCAAAGUUUUGGUAUGUGAUAUUACAUCUUAACAAAUUUAAAUACAAAAUUUCAAACACCAUUCUACAAAAUUAUUUAUCGAAUAUACUCCUUUGCAUGUAUGGCUUUGGAUUGUCAGAAUAAUUUCUUGAAGUGGAUAUUAAAGUAACCAAAUUAUCUAUUUCACUUUUUCAUUAUUUAUUUUUUUAUAGUAAAAAUAUUAAUUAAUGCAUUUAGGUGAGAAAACAAAAUAUCCAAUAACUUUAAGCAUUACAUAUGCGUCUGAUUUAGACUAAAGAUUGGUGUUAAAAAAAACAUAUAAUAAAUAAUAAAAUGUAUAAUUUUAAAUUAAUUAAUAAUAAUAAAUUAGAUUAAGUUGUAAGUAAAAUGAAAUUUAAACAUAUGGAUACAUCAUAUUAAUUAAGAUUUCUAAAUGAAUUAUUUAUCGUUAUGUUGUCUUCAAUCCUAAGUUUGGAUCAAGUUAAUUUGUGACAUUAUCUCAGUCAACGACAUUAUUAAUACUAGAAAUUAUAUUAUACAAGAAUUUGUGUGGAAACCACAAAUUUAAAACACAAAUGUGUGUUUAAAGAUAAUAUACAAUAAAUAAAUAAACAUAUGGUUUGAAAUUAUUUAAUAAUAACACAUUAAAUAUGUAUGAUAUUAAAAUAAAAAAUAUUAAAUUAAAUUGUUUAUCAUGUGUCAAUAUUGAGUAAGUGUCGGGUCAAUUUGCGAUACUAAGUCAAUAACAUUAUUAAUAUACAUAAAUAUAUAACAAAUAAAUUUAUUAAAGUUUCAUAUAAAAUAAAAUAAAAAUACUUUAGCUCAAAUGGUAAAUGAAAAUGUUCAUAUGCAUAAUGGCCUUAAUUCAAAUCUUAUUAUAAAUAAUUAUUUUAUUGAUUUAUAAAAUAUAAAAAGAUAAAAACACUCACAUAAUCAUAUAACUUGAAAAAUAAAAUAUUUUUUAUUAAUAAUUUUUAAUUAAAUUGAGAUCAGAUUAAUACGUGACACUAGUUAAAUAAAAAUUUUUACCAACUUAGAUAAUGUUAGCUACGAGCCAAUAAUAUUUUGCGUACCAAAUUUCCUCUAUUUUAAUAAAUAUACUUAGAUAAUCCAUUAUUCCUUUUAAAUUUUUUACCUUCCAUUAUAAUUUUUGUAAUUUAUAUAGUACGAGAUUUAUUAUUCAUGCUUCGACUCAUAUUCUCCAAAAAAAAAUUGUAUCCUUUGUAAUAAUCGUAAAAUUAAAUUUAACUACAAAUACUUUUCACCAUUUUUAUGUAUUAGGAGAUUUCAUUAAAAAACGAAAACACUCCAUUACCAAUUAUGGCCACCGUUGUAGAUUUUAAUGCACAAACCUUGUAAAACUUAUCAGUGAGACCAUAUUGAUACAACACAAAAAGUAACGAAGAAUCAAUUAGGCGCUUGAUCAAUAUAUUUAGUUUGUUGCAUCUUAUCUUAUAUUUGAAGCUGCAUCUCUAUACAUAUAUUUGGCAAUAAGCCGCAUGUCCAAUUAAAUGUCAAUAAAUUUUAGUGAAUCUGUAACGUGAUUGAUAAAUAUACCGCAUUAUAGAUUAAUGUAUCAUGUCAUUGAUAUAUAUUUUUUUUAAUGCGGUUAACUUAUAGUUAAUAAAAUACUAACCAACAAAAUUAAUGAAAAAAUAGGCAUGGAGAGAAAACUUUUUAUUAUUGUGGAUAUAAAAAUAAUAAUGCCUAUAAUCUAACCUUACAUGUACUGUUAUAAUUUCAUGUUUAUAUUUUAAUAAAUAUGAUAAAAUAUUAAAAACAAAAAUAUUAUUCAUAACUUACCUUAAAAAAAUUAAAGUAAAAGAAAGAAUAGCUAGCUUAAUUAACUAAACGUAUAUGUUUAUGUGACCACAAAUCCAGUUGAAACAUAUACGAAUUAACCUCUAAAUCCUGUACUUUGCCUCGUUAAAAUAUCGUAUGGAUCAAUGCAUCUGGUCAUAAAUUGCAAUAUCUCCUUCGUACACUUUCAUUUUCAUCUUUUAAUUCACGAUUCUUGAAAGUAAAACCUGUUGGGUAUGGGUCCCACUAUGUGGGAAACCCAUAUUUUCUGUCACAAUGUUUUGCCCUCUUUUUGGUUUUGUCAAAAGCCAUUUUUGGGGGGCUUUUAACGUAGGAGUGGGUAGAAAAUUUUAGUAGAGCCAAAAAAAACAAAAAAAUCUCAAAUUAAAACAGAGAGAAAGAGAGAAGAAAAUUUCAGUUUUUCAAGUUUGGUGCAGCAGUGAUCAACUCUUCGAUCGAAGGUUCAUCCGUGGUUCGAUUGAGCUGAUUUUUGGACAGCAGCUAGGCGAUAAGGUGUUCUUAACUUUGUACGGUCGGAUUUUUCAUCCGAGUCUUGUAGCGUCGGAAAUACCCAUUUUUCAGCAGCUACGUUUUUGGUGAUGUUCUCUCAUUUUUCUCUCUUUUGCUAAAUAUUACAUAUUGUUAGCCUUGUCGGAGUUGAAUGCUUGUUGUAGGCUUGAUAUUGUGAUCUUGUAGUCAAACAUUUGAUGAUAGUAGAGCUCUUUAUCGGACUCUAAAGUCCUGUGGUUUUUUACCCUUGAUUUAAAGGGGUUUUCCACGUAAAAAUAUCGGUGUCUCUAUUUAUUUUUGUUGUGGUUGCAUUAGUUGAUUUGUGGUUGAUUAAGGUUGCUAGAGAACAUAUCUUGUGCUAUUGUGCUUGCCAUAAUUUUUGACAGGAGUUAUAAGGAGAGAAAGUGUAACACCCCUUACCCGAGACCGUUUCCGGAGUCGAGCACGAGGCAUUACUUAGCUUAUCUUACCAAUUCGGAGCAUAAAAACUAGGUUUGAAAAUUUAUUUCACUAUUUACAGCAAAUCUGUCCAAUCGCGCAGCAGUUACAAAAUUAAUUAUAACUUGAGCUACAGAACUCGAAAUUUAAUUCCGUAAAUUUUCCCUGAAACUAGACUCAUAUAUCUACUCACCAUAAAAUUUUUAGAAUUUUUGGUUCAGCCAAUUAGUACAGUUUAUUAGUUAAAGUCUCCCCUGUUUCACCAUUCGACUAUUCUGACCUCUUGUUACUAAAAAUAAGUUUUCUCACUGUAGGAUUUUCAUAUGAAGUUCUUACUUGUUUCUACAGAAAAUAGACUCAUUAAGGAAUCUAAGCAUGUAAAUUUCAACUCAUAACCAUUUUUUUACAAUUUGUAAUUAUUUUCUAAACUCAGAACAGGGGACUCCAAAAACAGUUCUGACCCUAUCUUACUAAAAUUCACAUAUCUUAAAAUAUAAAUUUCCUUUUUCUACACCGUUAUUUUUCCAUGAAAAUAGACUUAACAAGAUUUAAUUCCAUAUAUCAUUCACCCUCUAAUUCAUUUUAUACUAUCUUGGGUGAUUUUUCAAAUUCACGUCACUGUGCUGCUUGAAUUCUGUUUCUUUGCAAAAUUUUAUCCUUUCAUGAUUUCCAUGCAUAAUUUAUCACCUAAUCUUUUAUAACAACAAACACCUUCAUCCUUAACCAUUUUAAUGACCAUACAUCAUCAAAUACUUACACAUCACUCAUUAGCAAAAUCAUCAUUACAAACAUACAAAAUAACUAAAUCCCUAUACAUGCCAUAACUCAAACGUGUUUCGAUAUAAAAUACCGAGCAGUUGUAGUUGAUAGUGUGGACGAUCUCCGACUUCUUUAGGAUCCUUGAAGUAGCUUUGCAAUACUAUAAGAGAAAGAAAAAUAAAAGAAGUAAGCAUAAAGCUUAGUAAGUUUACUAGCAAAUAAAUAACAAUAUUUAACUUAAAUAAUUAAACUCAAUGUCCAUAUCUCUAGUUUACUCUUUAGUUAAUCUCAUACUAGUUCUUUUACUUGUUUACUUAGAAUACUUGUGUGCAUAACUUACUCAAUCCUUGCUGCAUCGUUGAACAUCAAUUGAUAGUAUAAUAAGUUCUUAAGUCUCACAACUUACCUGAGCUUGCCAUUUAUGCUUUAAACUGAACUUUCAUGAACAUGACUCAUUUACAAGCCCGUUGAGCUACAUUGGAAUAAUAAGGAUACUCGGGUCUCUUCUGAUAAUAACAUGCCAAAGCCAUGUCCCAGACAUGGUCUUACAUGGGAUGUUCUCAUGUUGGUGCCCAUGUCAUGUCCCAGACAUGGUCUUAUAGGGGACCUCUCAUCUCGGUGCCAACGCCAUGUCCCAGACAUGGUCUUACAUGGGACCUCUCAUCUCGGUGCCAAUGCCAUGUUCCAGACAUGGUCUUACAUGGGACCUCUUUACCCAAAUGUCAUGACAUUCGUAUCCAGUACCAUCCUUAUGUAUCAACGGGACUUUUUAAUUUUAAUUCUUUAUCAUUUCAUGCUUAGAUCAUCAUCAAAUAAAUUCAUAAAAUAAAUUCAUAGUUGCUGGAAAAUAACAGCAUUGAUAAUAAAUAUUGAAAUAUUGCAUUUAUUUACCGUAAACUUACCUCGGUACCAAUUAUAGCCAAAUUCACCAACUUAGUCUUCAACUUUAUUCUUCCCUUUGUCUAACCUCGAGUUUCGUACUUCUUGAUCUAAAAUAGUAAAUUUAACUUAUUUAAUAAUCACAUUCAUCAAAAUAGCCCUCGACUCUAACUUUUUCAAAAUUACAAUUUUGCCCCUAAACUUUUACAUAAUUACAUUUUUGCCCCAAGGCUCGGAAAUUAAACUUCAUCUCUUAUUCUUAUGUUUUAUAACAUUCUGAACAUUUUCCCCUUCUAUGGCAACAUCAAAUUCCCACUCUAACAUGUACUUAUGAACAUUAGGUAUUUUUACCGAUUAUGUCGUUUUACUCGUUUUCACUUAAAAUCGCUUAGCAAAAGUUGUUUAACAUAAUUUCUAGCUUCAUAUUCUAUCAUAAAACAUCAAAAUAAACACUUUUCACCUAUGGGUAUUUUUCCAAAUAUAAACCCUAGGUUAAAUUAUUGCUAGAAUAAGCUAAAUUAAGCUACCGGGACUCCAAAAACGUAAAAAACAUUAAAAACGGGUCUUGGGAUCACUUACUAUGGAACUUGGAAGCUUGAAAACCCUAACUAUGGCUUCCCCCCUUGCUGAUUUCGUCCUAAUGAAGAAGAAGAUGAUUUUUGCCAUCUUUUUCCCUUUUAAUUCAUUUUAAUUACUAGAUUACCAAAUUGCCCCUAACUUAAAAAUUUUCUAUUUCACUUAUCUCAUGUCCAUUUUUGUCUACCAAGUUACCAAUGGUAUAAUUACCAUAUAAGGACCUCCAAUUUAAAGUUUCAUAACAAUUGGACACCUCUAACAUGUAGAACUCAACUUUUGCACUUUUUACAAUUUAGUCCUUUUUGACUAAAUUGAGUGCCCAAACGUCGAAAUUUUCGAACGAAAUUUUCACGAAAUCAUUUUAUGAAAUUGUAGACCAUAAAAAUAUAAGAAAAAUAAAAUUUUUCUCAUCGGAUUUGUGGUCCCGAAACCACUGUUCCGAUAACCUCAAAUUUGGGCCAUUACAACUCUCCCCCCCUUUUUAGGAUUUUCGUCCUCGAAAAUCUUACCAGUAAAGAGAUUCGGGUAUUGCUUCCUCAUUGUCUCUUCCGGUUCCCAUGUUGCUUCCUCAAUCCCGUGCUUUUGCCAUAGCACUUUCACCAGAUUUACCUUUUUUGUUUCUAAGCUCCUUUGUUUCUCGUACUAAUACUUUAACCGGUUCUUCAUUAUAAGUCAUAUCCGGCUGAAUUUCUACUUCUGUUGGAGUAAUAACAUGUGAAGGAUCUGAUCGAUACCGUCGUAGCAUAGAUACAUGAAAUACAUUAUGAAUUUUAUCGAGUUCUGGUGGUAAAGCCAAUCGGUAAGCAACUGGUCCAAUUCUUUCUAUAAUCUCAUAUGGUCCGAUAAAUCUUGGACUCAAUUUACCCUUUCGACCGAACCGGAGAACUUUCUUCCAAGGAGACACUUUUAAGAAUACUUUAUCACCCACCUGAAAUUCAAUCUCCCUUCGUUUAAGAUCGGCGUAUGACUUCUGACGAUCGGAAGCUGCUUUUAAACUAUCUCGAAUCAGCCUUACUUUUUCUUCUGUUUCCCGGAUCAAAUCAACCCCGUGUGUCUUCUUUUCACUGAGCUCUGUCCAAUAUAAUGGUGUUCUACAUUUUCUACCAUACAAAGCUUCAUACGGAGCCAUUUUAAUACUGGACUGAUAACUGUUAUUAUAAGCAAAUUCAAUUAAAGGUAGAUACCUUUCCCAAUUACCUUGAAAUUCUAAUGCACAACAUCGGAGCAUAUCUUCCAGUACCUGAAUUACACACUCAGAUUGGCCAUCUGUCUGAGGAUGAAAUGCAGUACUGAAAUGCAACUGAGUACCCAAAGCUUCUUGCAAUUUGUUCCAGAAACGAGACGUAAAUCGGGGGUCUCUAUCUGAUAUAAUGGAGACAGGCACUCCAUGUAGUCUAACAAUCUCAGAUAUAUACAGUUCAGCUAAUUUAUCUAGAGAAUAAUUCAUACGUACCGGGAUAAAAUGUGCUGAUUUUGUUAAUCGAUCAACGAUCACCCAAAUGGCAUCUUUAUUCUUCGGAGACAAUGGUAAUCCGGACACAAAAUCCAUAGUAAUUCUUUCCCAUUUCCAUUCUGGUAUAGUAAUUGGCUGAAGCAACCCCGAAGGUACCUGAUGUUCAGCUUUAACCUGUUGACAUACCAAACAUCUUGAUACAAACUCAGAGAUAUCACGUUUCAUACUCGGCCACCAAUACAUCUUUUUCAAGUCAUUAUACAUUUUAUUACCUCCCGGAUGUACGGACAUAAUACCACUGUGUGCUUCGUGUAAAAUCUUCUGUACAAGUUCUGAAUUCUUCGGUACACAUACUCUGCCUCUGAAUAAUAAACAACCAUCAGUUCCAAUCUGAAAUUCUGAAUCAUUACCUGACUCACAAUGCACCCGUUUAGCCUGUAAUUUCUCAUCAUUCCUCUGAGCUUCACAUAUUUGUUGACGAAAUGUCGAUUUAGCUCUCAAUUCAGCUAUGAUUGAACCAUCAUUAGACAGUGACAACCGGGUAUUCAUAGCUCGUAAAGCAAAUAGAGAUUUUCGGCUCAAAGCAUCAGCUACCAUGUUAGCCUUACCCGGAUGGUAAUCAAUAACCAAAUCAUAAUCCUUUAUCAAUUCAAGCCACCUGCGUUGUCUCAAAUUCAAAUCUUUCUGUGUCAUCAAAUAUUUCAAGCUUUUGUGAUCAGUAUAAAUAUGACACUUUUCACCAUACAAAUAAUGCCGCCAUAUUUUCAAUGCAAAUACAAUAGCAGCUAACUCGAGAUCAUGUACCGGGUAGUUUCUUUCAUGUGGCUUAAGUUGUCUUGAAGCAUAGGCUAUUACUUUAUCUUCUUGCAUCAAGACACAACCCAAACCAUUUAAUGAUGCAUCACUAUAAAUAAUAAAUUCCUUACCCGAUUCAGGCUGUACCAACACAGGUGCUUUCGUCAACAACUCCUUCAAUCGGUCGAAACUUUGCUGGCAUUUUUCUGUCCAUUCAAAUUUAACAUCUUUCUGUAAUAAACGGGUCAUUGGAGAAGCUAUCAUAGAAAACCCUUGUACAAAUCUCCGAUAAUAACCAGCUAAACCCAAGAAACUUCUAACUUCAGAUACAUUCUUCGGUGGACUCCAAUUGACAAUAGCUGAAAUUUUACUCGGAUCUACCCUGAUGCCUUCUGCGGAUACAAUAUGUCCGAGAAAACCUACCUCUCGAAGCCAAAAUUCACAUUUACUGAAUUUAGCAUAAAGUUUCUUUUCACGCAGAAUUUGCAACACUAUUUUCAAAUGUUCUGCAUGCUCAGUUUCAUCCCGAGAAUAAACUAAAAUGUCAUCAAUAAAAACUACUACAAACCUAUCUAGAUACGGUCUGAAUAUCCGGUUCAUCAAAUCCAUGAAUACUGCAGGUGCAUUAGUCAACCCAAACGGCAUAACCAGAAACUCAUAAUGCCCACACCUGGUUCUGAAAGCUGUCUUUGGCACAUCUGGCUCUUUUACCCGUAACUGAUAAUAACCCGAUCGGAGAUCAAUCUUUGAAAAUACUGUGGCAUCUUUCAGUUGAUCAAAUAAGUCAUCAAUUCGAGGCAACGGGUACUUAUUCUUUAUAGUUACCUUAUUAAGCUGCCGAUAGUCAAUACACAAUCUCAAAGACCCGUCUUUCUUUUUCACAAACAGAACUGGAGCACCCCAAGGUGAAUGACUCGGACGAACAAAACCUCUGUCAACAAGUUCCUGUAACUGUGCCUUUAACUCUUUUAAUUCUGUAGGAGCCAUACGAUACGGAGCUAUGGAAAUUGGGGCAGUUCCCGGAAUCAAAUCUAUAGAAAAUUCCACUUAUCUUUCUGGUGGCAACCCUGGUAAUUCCUCUGGAAACACAUCAGAAAAUUCACAUACAACUGGCACUGCCUGUAUCUUUAACUCAGAUACUUUAGUAUCCAACACAUACGCCAAAUAAACAUCAUACCCUUUUCUAACACACCUCUGAGCUGUCAUAACUGAAAUCGUAUCGGAUAAUCCCUCUGUCUGAUUAGAUUUAACCCAAAGUAAUUCUCCAUUCCGCAAUUACAUCAGGAGAGAACGCCUCUUCACGAGCUCGAAUAGCAUAUGAUCUUGCAGGUGCUCUAACAUCUGAUCUAACCGCUGAAUCUCUGGAUGCACCCCUAUUACUCGCACCCAUUCCUGGGUUUCUCUGCGGUCUAUCUCUGGUAGGAGCAUUACCUGAUCUCGCACUCGUUAUUUCUUCUCUUUUAGUUGUUUCAGGACAAUCCCGAAUAAAGUGAUCGGAUGCUCCACAUCUAAAACAAACAUUUUCACCUGCUCUACACUCUCCGGGGUGGCGUCUCCNNNNNNNNNNNNNNNNNNNNNNNNNNNNNNNNNNNNNNNNNNNNNNNNNNNNNNNNNNNNNNNNNNNNNNNNNNNNNNNNNNNNNNNNNNNNNNNNNNNNNNNNNNNNNNNNNNNNNNNNNNNNNNNNNNNNNNNNNNNNNNNNNNNNNNNNNNNNNNNNNNNNNNNNNNNNNNNNNNNNNNNNNNNNNNNNNNNNNNNNNNNNNNNNNNNNNNNNNNNNNNNNNNNNNNNNNNNNNNNNNNNNNNNNNNNNNNNNNNNNNNNNNNNNNNNNNNNNNNNNNNNNNNNNNNNNNNNNNNNNNNNNNNNNNNNNNNNNNNNNNNNNNNNNNNNNNNNNNNNNNNNNNNNNNNNNNNNNNNNNNNNNNNNNNNNNNNNNNNNNNNNNNNNNNNNNNNNNNNNNNNNNNNNNNNNNNNNNNNNNNNNNNNNNNNNNNNNNNNNNNNNNNNNNNNNNNNNNNNNNNNNNNNNNNNNNNNNNNNNNNNNNNNNNNNNNNNNNNNNNAGUCUAAAAGGCCUAAAAGAUUCCGAAAGGUUAGGGAAAGGGCUAGACCCUUUUGGAAUAGGGUAGAAGGUUCUAGAAGGUCUAGAUACAUCCACUUGUAUAGAUGGAAAUGUUUUAGACACGCAAUAUAGGUCGUCAGAUCGAAUAGAUCUUAGCAAUUGGUUUUUAGAGGCCUAUAAAUAGGAAGGUUCCGUCCUCAGUUGUACAUAUUUGGCUUUAAUAAUGAGAAUCCUCCUAGCAUUUCUCCCAACUAUUGUGUGCUUGAGUGUUUGAGUGUAGAAGCUCUCUUGGUGGCUUGUUGUAGACUAAAGGCAAAACUAGCCUCAAGGCAAAACUAGCCUCUUUCAGUAAAGAUCGAAGGUUGUACUUAAGCUCAUUGUCAUAGGAACCGAGCCUAAGGCCACAUGUUGACAGAGCUAAUAUCUCAACACGUGACAUAUGCUUGAUGUGGGUCGUAUUUUUGUUUUAGGUUUCAUUAAACUCUUGCUUAGUCCGUUGUUUUGGGAUUUUUAAUAAUCGAUUGAGAAAAAAAGUAAUGUUAAUCACUGUCAAGUUAUUAAUUAUUAUUACCAACUAUCAUAAUAAUCUAGUUUUUGGAAUCGAAAUCAAGUCCUUAAAUAAUAAACAAUGUAAUGUGAUUAUUUUCAUCUUCUAGUUUAAUGGAAGCAAGACUUGGUCAACAAUCAACCCACCUUUACAUUUAGUACAAUGAAGUAAGCAGUGCAUACUAUUUUAUAUUAUCAUAUAUAAAAUAAACAAGAUACUUUAUAUAUAAAAUAUAUAAGAUCAUUUCAAAAAAUAAAAAAUAAAAAAUAAAAUAUUAUAGAUAAGUCAUCAAACUUUUAAAUAAAUAAGUUAACAAUUUCAAUAAACAAAUUUAAAAUACAUAACAUAAUUUUACAAAAUAAAAAACGAUAAAUAUUCACUUUAACUAAAACCACCAGAAACAUAUUAUGAAAUCAAAAGCUAUAAAUACACAUAUUUCCCAUUGUUUUCUCUUCGCUUCUACUGUUCCCCCACCCCAUUUUCCACAUUUUUUUUUUCAUUUCCAUUAAACAUGUGCUUCCUCACACUUUUUCCACAUUUUCGUUUCUAAGCUAAAAAAGUUGUUGCAAACAUUACAAUGCAAUUAUGAAAUUAAAUAAAUAUUUGUAGAGCCAAAUCAAAUGAACAUUUUGUGUACCAUUGAGAUUGAUACGUGGGAAUAAAUCUUUUUAUAUAAUUUUAACUAUGUAAUAUUUUUUAAUUUAAUAAUUUUGAGUUUUUUUUUUAUAAUUUAUAGUGUUAAAAAAUAUUUUUAAUUUAUUUAAUAAUUAUUAUUUUUGGUUGCCUUAUUAAUUUUAAUAAUUAUUAAUUUUUUUAUAGUUUUGCAAUAAUCCGAAAUGAUUUGGAUAACCUUUUAUUCAAAAUAAUUUUAGAUGUUCCUGUUAUUAAUUUUUACAUUUUUUUAUAAAUUAUUAAUAUUUUUUAUUUUUUUAUUUUUUUAAAAUUUUAAAUUAUAUAUUUUUAUUAUUUUUUAAUAAAUUUAUAAGUUAUUUUUUUAUAAAUUUGCAUUCAUUUAGAAUGAAUUUAGACAAAUAAUUAUUUAUUUUUAUUAUAAAUAAUAAUUUAUUAAUUUUUUAUUUAACAUGUCACAUUAACACGGUUAACGAUAAAAUUGGUGAAUAAAAAAAAGAUAAAAAUAUAAUAUUUAAUUUAAAAUUGAGUUAAUAUUAAAUUUAAAAUUUUAUAAUAUUAAAAAAUACUACGAUUCCUUAAUUGGUUGAGAAAAUUUUAAUAAAGAUAAUAAUAAAAACUUAUAAUAAUUACAAAAUUAUAUAUUAACUAUAUGAUUGGUCGGCGGUGAAUUGAAUCAAGGCUUAAAAUUAAGGCUUAACUAGAAAAAUCUUGAGCCCAAAAAGUGGGUCCAGCGAAACCAAUACUAUUAAUUUGUGGUUUUGGAUGGUUAAAAAUUAAACACGCUCCCUUAAAGAAUGUCCAUAAAUAAACAUGCUGUGUGGCCCCCAACAUAAGCAUUAAUUUGGAUCACAACUCAUCUCCCUUGCAUGAAUGAUGUCACCACUGAACUCACCUAUACGAUUCUACCACAGUUCCUAUCCUAUGUUUUGAUUCGAUUUAAUAGGAGUUUUUAAAAAGAAAAAAAGAAAAUUGAAUGCAAAGGCUAGACAUAAUAAGACUCUUAAUUAAAAUUUCCGAAAUUAGGUCGAAAUGGAGUUUUGAUUAAAUUUGUUCCGCUUGGUUCCAUCUUGAAAAUUUUAGUAAAAUAUUUUUCUAUUAAGUUCAUAAAUAAUUUUAAUUAAAAUGUUUUUAACAUUUAUAAAAUUUUAUAUGAUUUAACUAUUUUGUAUAUAUUUUAAGAUUUUUUUAUAAAAAUAUAAAAGACAUUGCAUACAAUUAUAGACUGUGACAUACAAAUUAUGAGAAUCAACGACAUGAACAAGAGCAUAUAUAUGUGUAUAUAUAUACAAAUUUUAUAUAUAUACAUACAAAAUUUAUAUUGCAUGAGGCUCUGCCAUGUAUGAAAUAAAAAAAAAGGCUUAUGAUGUAAAUAUAAAUAUUAGGACCCUCAAAGUGUAUAUAUACACGUGUAGGCCUAGCCCAUAUAUAUGUGUCCGUAAACAUAAGCAGCAAAUAUGUUUCCUUCUAACACACACCAAUAAGGUAACAAUGAUGAAAUUCAUUAAUGAAUUAUAAGAUGUGUGGUAGCGAUGCUAAAGCAUCUUUUAAUCUUUGUUGAAAAAGCCACGUCUUUUGUCAUUCUCAAUUGCCAAACACAGAGACACACUCAAUUCCUUUAAAUACUCCAUUAGUAGUACCCACAGCACUCACAAUUUCAGUUUUAUAUCUUCUUUCGCAUUUGGCUUUGGCCAUGCCUCCAACUUUUCUUCAAUGGCUUAGUCUAGUUGCGAUGAUUUUGCUUCAAUCCAUAAAUGGAACUAACUCAAAUUUCCCAGCUUACUCAUCCCAACUCAAGCAUGUCCUCUCUAUGUCACAAAUUCAGCUCAAUAACCUUGCCUUUGCCUCUGAUGCCGGUAAGUUGCUCGGGUGGCUUUCAGGCAUAGCUGCCAAUUACUUGCCCAUGUGG
rnacentral:lncRNA from 1 species